rnacentral:lncRNA from 1 species
UAGUUCCUCUCCUCUUCCCCACCAGGGUCCUCAGCCACACACCCCGAGCCCUGCCUGCGGGCCCAGCCCCCCCAUUUCCGGAGCCUGCGCCCCGGACCCAGCGGGGGCUGAUCCCUGGGAAAGGCCUGGCUUCCUCUUCCUUCCUGUCCCUGCCCCACCUCCGCCGGGCUCCACAGCCGCCGGGAGCCCAGGGCCGAGACGGGAGGAGGGCACCCACCUGGUCGGUGUCACAUGCUGCUUCGGCCCCAGCGUCCCCUCCAGGUCCCGGCGCCGGCCGCAGUCCCCAGAGCCGUCCCCAGCGCAGGCCCGGCCGCCCCACCCGCGGCCCGCCCCUGGCCGCCCGACGGGAGGGAGGGAUCGGGUUCUCCUAGGAAGUUUCAGGUCAUUCAACAUUUAUUCAACCAAAAAUACUAAGUCAGCUCUAUACAAACUAAUGGAAGGAUACAGCUAUGCAAAUAUAGAACACUAAAGUGUUACAUGACAGAUGUAUGAGAAGUACCUUUUGCCUCCCACUGUGAUUCUGAGGCCUCCCCAGCCAUGUGCAACUAACUGGGAAGAAAGGACCCUGAAAAGUUAGCUGGUUCCAAGUGACCCUCCAAGGGGAAGAGUGCUGGAUUCAGAGCCCACCUCAGGGGAAGACAGGACCCUCUCCAAGAUGGUUUCCCUAGAAGCUACUACCUCUCCCUGGAGGGUGGAGAUAUUUGCUGGUCAAAGCAAGAAGGCCCUCUGCAGAUGCUGACACCUUGAUAUUGGACUUCCCAGAUUCCAGAACUCUGAGAAAUAAAUUUCUAUUUUAAAUAAAU